UACAGAGGGUGCAAGCGUUUGUUCGGAAUUAUUGGGCGUAAAGGGCGCGUAGGCGGUGCUGUAAGUCUGUAGUGAAAUCUCUGGGCUCAACUCAGAGUCUGCUAUAGAAACUGCGGUGCUGGAGUGUGGGAAAGGCAAGCGGAAUUCCUGGUGUAGCGGUGAAAUGACGUAGAUAUCAGGAGGAACACCGGCGGUGUAGACGGCUUGCUAGACCAUAACUGACGCUGAGGCACGAAAGCGUGGGUAGCAAACAGG
rnacentral:rRNA from 1 species